AUAAUAUUUAAAACAUAACAAAAUUGUUUUUUUUUAUUCAAACAUUUAACAAAACAUAUUUUAUUUUAUUUUUAAAUCAACAACAGAUUAAACUUAUAUUAUAUCAUAAAUAUUUUAGAAAAUAAUUUAACCAUUGUCAGCCUUAAAUUACACUAGUUUAACUAGGUAAAACAUAAUUUUCUUGUCGGUUUAAUGUUCUUGCUGAUUUUAAAUCUUUCCAAAGUAACAACAAACCAGCUACGGAGACCAAUCAACCAUUAAUAAAUUUCAUCCGGGUUUAUUGAAAUUUUUUAAAGUUGGUCUUCUUGAAUAAUUGAAGAUAUCAAAGAGUUUGUCCAUAUUUUCAAUAAAAUCUAUUGUUGUCUUUGAAGGAGGCUCCAAUUCGUUAUUAACAAGUAUUCAUAUUUCAUACCGGCUGCUACACUUAGACUGAAUACUUGUGCAGUCAAAAAAACCUUCAUUUUCUCAAAUGGUCCUGGAAAAAUGUGAGAAUAUGUUAAUUUUGGGGCUGCUCUUAAAUUGCAUUUGCUGUCUUAUUCAAAAAAUGAUAUAAGGUGACACACCAGUCACCACUUGUAAAAUAUUCCGGUCGCAAAUUAUCCCGGCAGUUUGGUAGUACAAAUUUCUUAUGCAGGUAGCGCCACCAUUCGCCGGUUUUUAUAUUGUGAAUACAUUGUUUUUAAUGUUAAAUAUCAAAAAUUAUAUACGUUUUUGUCGUUUUUGAUAUUAUUACUAAUAUUACUUCAAAAUUUAAAAUAUUAACCACGUAAGAAUUAUUUUUAAGUGAUUAUUCUAUUAAAUUAGGUAACAUUUAAAAUAGUUUAAAUUAAGGAAGUUUUAUUAAUUAGUUAUAUAUUUUAACAAUGAUAUGUACACAAUUUUAAGAGUUUUGACUGCUUCGCUAAAUUUUUUUGUUUUUAUUUUUUUCUCGUUUUGGGUUUUCUGCAUCACAUACAAAAAACAUUCUUGAUUGUAAAUAAAAAAUAAUAAUAUUUUUGUGUUCAUCA